rnacentral:rRNA from 1 species
UACGGAGGGUGCGAGCGUUGUCCGGAAUCACUGGGCGUAAAGGGCGCGUAGGCGGCGCGGAAAGUCGUCGGUGAAAGCUCGGGGCUCAACCCUGAGUCUGCCGGUGAUACUCCCGCGCUCGAGCUCACUAGAGGCAGAUGGAAUUCCGAGUGUAGCGGUGGAAUGCGUAGAGAUCCGGAAGAACACCGGUGGCGAAGGCGGUCUGCUGGGGUGAGGCUGACGCUGAUGCGCGACAGCGUGGGGAGCAAACAGG